CCUACGGGGGGCAGCAGUGAGGAAUAUUGGUCAAUGGGCGUAAGCCUGAACCAGCCAAGUCGCGUGAGGGAUGAAGGCUCUAUGGAUCGUAAACCUCUUUUAUCAGGGAAUAAAGUGCGGGACGUGUCCCGUUUUGUAUGUACCUUAUGAAUAAGGAUCGGCUAACUCCGUGCCAGCCGCCGCGGUAAUACGGAGGAUCCGAGCGUUAUCCGGCUUUUUUGGGGUUAAAGGGUUCGUAGGCGGCGUAUUAAGUCAGCGGUGAAAGUCUGUGGGUCAACCAUAGAACUGCCGUUGAAACUGGGAGGCUUGAGUAUGGUAGAGGCAGGCGGAAUGCGUGGUGUAGCGGUGAAAUGCUUAGAUAUCACGCAGAACCCCGAUUGCGAAGGCAGCCUGCCAGGCCAUGACUGACGCUGAGGCACGAAAGCGUGGGGAUCAAACAGGAUUAGAUACCCCAGUAGUC
rnacentral:rRNA from 1 species